rnacentral:misc_RNA from 1 species
GAAAUGCGAUAAGUAAUGUGAAUUGCAGAAUUCCGUGAAUCAUUAAAUCUUGGAACGCAAAUUGCACUCCUUGGUAUUCCGAGGAAGUACACUUGCUUGAGGGUCAGUUAAAAAAAAAUAUCGUUACAUUUUUUUGGUGUUGCGGAUCUGGGUUAUCCGGUUUUAAGUCGGUUACCUAAAAUUAAAGAUAUAAUGUGAUACGUACUAAGAUAAAGUCGUUAAUUACCUCUAAUUUUUUUAGUUAGUAGUGUAUAUAAUUUCUGAAAAUGACCUCAAGUGAGAGUACCCGCUGAACUUAA